rnacentral:rRNA from 1 species
GCGAAGAACCUUACCUACUCUUGACAUCCAGAGAACUUUCCAGAGAUGGAUUGGUGCCUUCGGGAACUCUGAGACAGGUGCUGCAUGGCUGUCGUCAGCUCGUGUUGUGAAAUGUUGGGUUAAGUCCCGCAACGAGCGCAACCCUUAUCCUUGUUUGCCAGCGAGUAAUGUCGGGAACUCCAGGGAGACUGCCGGUGAUAAACCGGAGGAAGGUGGGGACGACGUCAAGUCAUCAUGGCCCUUACGAGUAGGGCUACACACGUGCUACAAUGGCGCAUACAGAGGGCRGCCAACUUGCGAAAGUGAGCGAAUCCCAAAAAGUGMGUSGUAGUCCGGAUUGGAGUCUGCAACUCGACUCCAUGAAGUCGGAAUCGCUUAGUWWUUC